rnacentral:rRNA from 1 species
UACGUAGGGUGCAAGCGUUGUCCGGAAUUAUUGGGCGUAAAGAGCUCGUAGGCGGUUCGUCGCGUCGGCUGUGAAAACCUGAGGCUCAACCUCAGGCCUGCAGUCGAUACGGGCGGACUUGAGUACUGCAGGGGAGACUGGAAUUCCUGGUGUAGCGGUGAAAUGCGCAGAUAUCAGGAGGAACACCGGUGGCGAAGGCGGGUCUCUGGGCCUGUACUGACGCUGAGGAGCGAAAGCGUGGGGAGCAAACAGG